GCACAAGCGGUGGAGCAUGUGGUUUAAUUCGACGCAACGCGAAGAACCUUACCUGGGCUCGAAAUGUACAGGACAACGGUAGAAAUAUCGUCUCCCAGCAAUGGGUCUGUAUAUAGGUGCUGCAUGGCUGUCGUCAGCUCGCGUCGUGAGAUGUUGGGUUAAGUCCCGCAACGAGCGCAACCCUUAUCUCCAGUUGCUACCAUUUAGUUGAGCACUCUGGCGAAACCGCCUCGGAUAACGGGGAGGAAGGUGGGGAUGGCGUCAAGUCCUCAUGGCCUUUAUGUCCAGGGCUACACACGUGCUACAAUGGCCGGUACAAACCGUCGCAAACCCGUGAGGGGGAGCUAAUCGGAAAAAGCCGGCCUCAGUUCGGAUUGGAGUCUGCAACUCGACUCCAUGAAGCUGGAAUCGCUAGUAAUCGCGGAUCAGAACGCCGCGGUGAAUACGUUCCCGGGC
rnacentral:rRNA from 1 species